UGGAAUUAAACCUGUGUGCCACC
rnacentral:piRNA from 1 species